rnacentral:rRNA from 1 species
UCAAGCGACUAAGUGCAUCUGGUGGAUGCCUUGGCGAUGAUAGGCGAAGAAGGACGCGUUAGCCUGCGAAAAGCACGGGGGAGCUGGCAAAUAAGCAUUGAUCCCGUGAUAUCCGAAUGGGGAAACCCGGCCCUUUUGGGUCAUCCAUGACUGAAUACAUAGGUCAUGAGAAGCGAACUCGGCGAACUGAAACAUCUAAGUAGCCGAAGGAAAAGAAAUCAACCGAGAUUCCCAAAGUAGUGGCGAGCGAAAUGGGAAGAGCCUGCAUGUGAUAAAUCAAACUUUAGUGGAACAGUCUGGAAAGUCUGGCGACAGUGGGUGAUAGCCCCGUACACGAAAAAGAUUGGUUGGUACUAAGCAUGCGACAAGUAGGGCGGGACACGAGAAAUCCUGUUUGAAGAUGGGGGGACCAUCCUCCAAGGCUAAAUACUCAUCAUCGACCGAUAGUGAACCAGUACCGUGAGGGAAAGGCGAAAAGAACCCCGGGAGGGGAGUGAAAUAGAACCUGAAACCGGAUGCAUACAAACAGUGGGAGCCCUUGCAAAAUGGGGUGACUGCGUACCUUUUGUAUAAUGGGUCAGCGACUUACGUUCAGUAGCAAGCUUAACCGAGUAGGGGAGGCGUAGGGAAACCGAGUCCGAAUAGGGCGCAUAGUUGCUGGGCGUAGACCCGAAACCAAGUGAUCUAUCCAUGGCCAGGAUGAAGGUGCGGUAACACGCACUGGAGGUCCGAACCCACUAAUGUUGCAAAAUUAGGGGAUGAGCUGUGGAUAGGGGUGAAAGGCUAAACAAACUUGGAAAUAGCUGGUUCUCCUCGAAAACUAUUUAGGUAGUGCCUCAUGUAUCACUGACGGGGGUAAAGCACUGUUAUGGCUAGGGGGUCAUCGCGACUUACCAAACCAUGGCAAACUCUGAAUACCGUCAAGUGCGAGCAUGGGAGACAGACUGUGGGUGCUAACGUCCAUGGUCAAGAGGGAAACAACCCAGAUCGCCGUCUAAGGUCCCAAAUAAUCAGUUAAGUGGAAAACGAGGUGGGAAGGCAUAGACAGCCAGGAUGUUGGCUUAGAAGCAGCCAUCAUUUAAAGAAAGCGUAAUAGCUCACUGGUCGAGUCGUCCUGCGCGGAAGAUGUAACGGGCUCAAACUGAUAACCGAAGACGCGAAUAUGCACGAUGUGCAUAUGGUAGAGGAGCGUUCCGUAGGCCUGCGAAGGUGUCUUGAGAAGGAUGCUGGAGGUAUCGGAAGUGCGAAUGCUGACAUGAGUAGCGAUAAUGCGGGUGAAAAGCCCGCACACCGAAAACCCAAGGUUUCCUGCGCAACGUUCAUCGGCGCAGGGUGAGUCGGCCCCUAAGGCGAGGCAGAAAUGCGUAGUCGAUGGACAACGGGUUAAUAUUCCCGUACCGAUAUAAAGUGCGAUGGGGGACGGAGAAAGGUAGGUCAGCCCACUGUUGGAAUAGUGGGUUUAAGCGAGUAGGCGUGUGGCUUAGGCAAAUCCGGGCUGCUUUAACGCUGAGACGUGACGACGAAGUCUUCGGACUGAAGUGAUUGAUCCUAUGCUUCCAAGAAAAGCCUCUAAGCUUCAGCUUAUAUUGACCGUACCGCAAACCGACACAGGUGGGUAGGAAGAGAAUUCUAAGGUGCUUGAGAGAACUCAGGAGAAGGAACUCGGCAAAUUAUCACCGUAACUUCGGGAGAAGGUGAGCCCAUAUUAGGUGAAGGCCCUUGCGGCUGGAGCUGACAUGGGUCGCAGAGAAAUGGGGGCUGCGACUGUUUAUCAAAAACACAGCACUCUGCAAAGUCGAAAGACGACGUAUAGGGUGUGACGCCUGCCCGGUGCUGGAAGAUUAAAUGAUGGGGUGCAAGCUCUUGACUGAAGUCCCAGUAAACGGCGGCCGUAACUAUAACGGUCCUAAGGUAGCGAAAUUCCUUGUCGGGUAAGUUCCGACCCGCACGAAUGGCGUAACGAUGGCCCUACUGUCUCCUCCUGAGACUCAGCGAAGUUGAAAUGUUUGUGAAGAUGCAAUCUCCCCGCUGCUAGACGGAAAGACCCCGUGAACCUUUACUGUAGCUUUGCAUUGGACUUUGAAGUGGUUUGUGUAGGAUAGGUGGGAGACAUUGAAGCAUGGACGCUAGUCUGUGUGGAGUCGUCCUUGAAAUACCACCCUGACCCCUUUGAGGUUCUAACCUUGGUCCGUUAUCCGGAUCGGGGACCGUGCAUGGUAGGCAGUUUGACUGGGGCGGUCUCCUCCCAAAUUGUAACGGAGGAGCUCGAAGGUCGCCUAGGUACGGUCGGACAUCGUACUGAUAGUGUAAUGGCAUAAGGCGGCUUAACUGCGAGACAGACAAGUCGAGCAGGUGCGAAAGCAGGACAUAGUGAUCCGGUGGUUCUGAAUGGAAGGGCCAUCGCUCAACGGAUAAAAGGUACUCCGGGGAUAACAGGCUGAUUCCGCCCAAGAGUUCACAUCGACGGCGGAGUUUGGCACCUCGAUGUCGGCUCAUCACAUCCUGGGGCUGUAGCCGGUCCCAAGGGUAUGGCUGUUCGCCAUUUAAAGUGGUACGUGAGCUGGGUUCAAAACGUCGUGAGACAGUUUGGUCCCUAUCUGCAGUGGGCGUUGGAAAUUUGAGGGGGGCUGCUCCUAGUACGAGAGGACCGGAGUGGACAGAUCUCUGGUGUACCGGUUGUCACGCCAGUGGCAUCGCCGGGUAGCUAAAUCUGGAAGAGAUAAGCGCUGAAAGCAUCUAAGCGCGAAACUCGCCUCAAGAUGAGAUUUCCCCAAGGCUUUAAGCCUUUUAAAGGGUCGUUCGAGACCAGGACGUUGAUAGGUCGGGUGUGGAAGCGCAGUAAUGCGUUAAGCUAACCGAUACUAAUUGCCCGUAAGGCUUGAUCCU